rnacentral:lncRNA from 1 species
CCCGCUGGAAUCACCUCCAGAAGAAGAGGCCUCCCCCAGGGCCUUCAGUGACCGACCUCAGGGCCUCCGCGUGUCCUGGCCUUGGCUGAGGCCCGGCUUCCGCGCACUUGAAGACCAAGCUGCAUUUCUAGUCCCCAAGUCCCUGAAGAGAUGUGAGGACAAUUGGUGCCGGCCUCCUGGGGAGUCAGACCGGGCUGCUGAGGGCUGGGCUACCGGAAUAAACCACCCACACUGCGUACUCCUCAGCCAAGCUCCGUCAGCUGCUUGACGCAAAGGCGGUGCGCACGCACUGAGAGAAAACCAGAGAAUAGAAAAGCUGCGGAGCUGGAGGAAGAAGACUGCCAGGCGGUGCCAGCAGCACUUGGCUGAACAUCCUUCCAAAGCUCUUCUGGGAUUCGGGGCAGCUACAAAUGUGAACAGCCACCUGCCACACCUCAGGAUGGAGGCCGACAGGGUCCACGGAGGAGCUGCCCCGGAGACCACCUAGAGGGUGCCCGUAUCUCUGGUCCGAACACCCCCGAGCUUCCUUCAAGGGCUUCCAAGAAGGCGACAAGGAGAAGGUGGGUUCCCCACCCUCUCAGCAGCCAUCCCUGCUGAUGAGCAAGCUGGCAGCACGGGAACCGGACACUGGGAGACCAAAGUCGCAAGGGAGUGACUGAGGGGGACCCUGCUGGCCUGACAAUGCCCAGAGCAGCUCGGUGCAGCCGCCCGGUCGAGGGCUGGCUCCCUGGUGCUAGAGUCACACCGGCCUCGUUUCUCAAAACGCUUGCUCCACCUCGGAGUUCGGCCACCUCUCCCCCGCCUGCCCCCCGAGGUCGCCGGCCGCCUUCCCGGACCCCUGCCUGCAUCGCGCCCCCCCCGGUCCCAGUGCCCGGGUGCUGGCCGGGGUACCUUAGCCUUUUCCUGCAGCGCCCGCGGCGCAGGGAGGUGGGACUGACCUCGGGCUGGAGCUGAGCAAGCAGCGUCAUCAGAGAGAAGGUCGCCAAGGGCCCGCUCUCGGUCCCCCGAGGAGCGGGGCCCGUGGGCGGCAGGGUGGAGUGAGGGAGCAGCUUGUGUAAAGAAAUCAUUGAGAAAUUUCUAGCGUAACUGGAGGGAAUUAUAAACGACAUCGACUUGGAGCAUAAACUUGCUGCCUAGUUACGAGCCACAGCAAAGGUCUCCAGGACGCGUCUUACAGAACAAACAGAAGACAAGGGCGGGAGCUUCCCGAGCGCAGGGAGGGGCGCUCUGGAUGCCCAGGGGGUGGCCCUCCUUCAUUCUAACGCCACACGGGCCCUGCUUUCACCUGGGCCAACCUGAGGGGUCCUGGGCAACUGGGGGUCCUGACCUGGGGUCGAGGCUAGUUAAAGCACCUGGCAUGCUGACUUGGUUGUGACCUUCUGCUCGUCACACGAGUGAAAUGCAGAUUCCUGAAGUCUGUGUGGCACAGAGCCCCUGGCCCUGGUGGAUCUCCUCUGGGAGCCACUGGGGCUCUGCCUCUGGGCCCUGAGCCUCGGGAACAAGCCCCACCCGGCCCCCAGCAGCACCUGGUCCUUCGCCACCACCUCCAGGGCAUGAGUGAGCUCCGGCCAGAGGGCCUCCCUCUGCACAGGAGUAUGUGCGGAGCCUGCUUGCCUGAGGAAGGGCGGUUGCAGGUGUUGGGGUGCAGCAGGUUUGGGGGGCAAGGCUCUGGUAAGAGUUCAGCCUCCCCUCGGACUGGGAAAAUGCCGAAGACAGUGCCAGCAGCGCUUUCCACGAGGUGGUGGCUGAAUCCAGGACUGGACCUGGAGACAGCUGACCCAGGGGUCCGGGCCCCUCUCUGGGCAGGGCAAUCCCAGGCACACCCUUAAUAGCCAGAAACACCCCCAGACGUUGGCGAAUGCCCGGGAGUAAAUGCCUGCCAGGGCAGCCGCUCCAGCCCCAUGAGGGAGCUGGUGUUUUCUCAAGGGCUGCUUCCUUCCAGCCAGAGUGGAAAUUGAAUCAGGACCAGCUGAAAAACUUGCAGAACCCAGUGGCAAAUCAAAACACGGGGCUCCUGGUUCGAAUAUGAUGUGAUGCCAGGUGUUGGGCCAGACGCGGGCCUGCUGGCCUUGGCCGCCUGCCCAUGAAGCUGGUUGGCGCUGAAUCAAAUACAAUGCCCCCGAAACAGUGAAUCACCAACAAGCUGCAGAAAUCUCUCAUAGCAAUGAUUUCAAUAGACUCUUUUAAACUUGGUGGCCCACGGGUGGCUGGUGUAGGGACCCCAGUCUGAGCUCCGCCCUGUGCCGAGUAGCUUCGCCUUUCCCAAAGCCUGGCCUCCACAGGACGAGAGGGGCCCAAGGCAGCGGCGUGGCAGCAGGAUGGGCCUCUCCUGGAAGCAGGUACCUUUUUAGGUGGUGUGUUCCUUGAAGGCAAGAAUGAUGUUUCACAAUAUACACCCAGUGCCUAUCACAGCUUCUUCUACUGUGGU